rnacentral:rRNA from 1 species
UACGAAGGGGGCUAGCGUUGUUCGGAAUUACUGGGCGUAAAGCGCGCGCAGGCGGUCCUUCAAGUCAGAGGUGAAAGCCCAGGGCUCAACCCUGGAACUGCCUUUGAAACUGGAGGACUUGAGUACGGGAGAGGUGAGUGGAAUUCCGAGUGUAGAGGUGAAAUUCGUAGAUAUCGGGAGGAACACCGGUGGCGAAGGCGGCGACCUGGGUCGAGACUGACGCUGAGGCGCGAAAGCGUGGGGAGCAAACAGG